AUCCUUUGGUUCAUAAGUGCGAUGACUGGGUGUUCAUGCUCUUAUAUGAGAUAUGCCUCCCUCUAAACUUUAUUACAACAUCGGCACAUUACCCAUAUGACA
rfam:Ictidomys tridecemlineatus contig003242, whole genome shotgun sequence.